GAUGAACGCUGGCGGCGUGCCUAAUACAUGCCAGUCGAGCGAACGGACGAGAAUCUUGCUUCUCUGAUGUUAGCGGCGGACGGGUGAGUAACACGUGGAUAACCUACCUAUAAGACUGGGAUAACUUCGGGAAACCGGAGCUAAUACCGGAUAAUAUUUUGAACCGCAUGGUUCAAAAGUGAAAGACGGUCUUGCUGUCACUUAUAGAUGGAUCCGCGCUGCAUUAGCUAGUUGGUAAGGUAACGGCUUACCAAGGCAACGAUGCAUAGCCGACCUGAGAGGGUGAUCGGCCACAAUGGAACUGAGACACGGUACAGAAUCCUACGGGAGGCAGCAGUAGGGAAUAUUCCGCAAGGGGCGAAAGCCUGACGGAGCAACGCCGCGUGAGGGAUGAAGGUCUUCGGAUCGUAAAACUCUGUUAUUAGGGAAGAACAUAUGUGUAAGUAACUGUGCACAUCUUGACGGUACCUAAUCAGAAAGCCACGGCUAACUACGUG
rnacentral:rRNA from 1 species